rnacentral:misc_RNA from 1 species
UCCUAGUUAACCUAGGCAGUCUCGUUAGAGUUCCCGCCAUUACGCGUUGGCAACUAACGAUAAGGGUUGCGCUCGUUGCUGGACUUAACCAAACACCUCACGGCACGAGCUGACGACAGCCAUGCAGCACCUAUAUAAAGCCUCUUUCGAGACACGCUAUCUCUAGCGCUUUUCCUUACAUUUCGAGCCCAGGUAAGGUUCUUCGCGUUGCAUCGAAUUAAACCACAUGCUCCACUGCUUGUGCGGGCCCCCGUCAAUUCUUUUGAGUUUCACCCUUGCGAGCGUACUCCCCAGGCGGCAUACUUAACGCGUUAGCUCCGAUACAGAAAGGGUUGAGCCCUCCUACAUCUAGUAUGCAUCGUUUACAGCUAGGACUAC